rnacentral:lncRNA from 1 species
CUUAGAACCACCGAGAUGCGAGAUCCAUCAUGUGGUCGUGCGCAGAAGUAGUUGCGCUCCCUCCGAGCCCCACCCCCUCGACUAUAAAUAAACGUGUUCUACGCACGCCAGUCUCUUUCAGCCAUGAUGUUCGACUCGUGUUUCUCUGGGGAGGGGUUUUUUAUAUGCAGAGACAAGUCUGGGAGAUACCUGGGGACCCCCUCCUCCAAGAUUUCUCCUAGAUAGGAGGUUAAGAAGAGGACUUUAGAGCAUGUCUAUUAAAACGUGUGGUAUUUGGGAGUUGUACAUAGGAUUUUUUUUUUUAACUCAAGGCUGCUGAUACCUUUUUUUAAACAAGUUUCUUUUUAAUGGGUAUUUCUCCAGCUCUUAAAGAGCAUGACUGUUACAGAUCUUGGUAUGGGUAAGUCAAGUGUUUCACAAGGAUUAUUCAAGUGCACAGUGAAAGGGGAUCAUGAUAUCUCCCCAAACUGCAAAGGUCAGUGGUAGAAAAAGGAAAAUGCCCAAGUACUGAUAGUCUUUUGUUGUAGCCUAAUUCUCAUAAAAGUAGCCACCUUCAGAGGUGAGGUAUAUAGGCAACAACUAUUGAUAAAUAUGUUGAUACACUGAAAAGCACAAUUCCAGAAUUGCAGAAAAUCUCAAGUGGAGUGCUGCAGUAUUUUCUUGUACCAUGCCACAUUUCCCAAAAUAGUAAAUUUGUCCAAGAGAUGGAGAUAAAUGUGCCUCAAUGGCAUGAGAGCUCACCCGAUUUAACCCCAUUGAAAACUUGUGGCAUAAGAAUCGAAGCUAGACUUGAAGAAAUGGACUGCUUCUCAAAGGCACAUUUGAUAGCCAAUGUUUUUUAAAAGUGGUUUCAUGAUGAAUUACAGAAUGUGUCAAUUCUAUGGCAAAUUGUGUAAAACAAGUGAAGCAAAAGGACAUGUUGCUUUCUAAAAGUUGAAUAUUAGAGAUGUGGAAAGUUGUAUGGUUUGUGUGUACAUUCAAUAAAUUUUAUUUUAUUUACCCUCA